rnacentral:rRNA from 1 species
CAAUAGCGUAUAUUAAUGUUGUUGCAGUUAAAAAGCUCGUAGUUGGAUUUCGGGUGGGAAUGGCCGGUCCGCCGUUUCGGUGUGCACUUGCUACGCCCACCUUGCUGCCGGGGACGUGCUCUUGAGUUCACGCUCGGGACACGGAGUCGGCGAGGUUACUUUGAGUAAAUUAGAGUGUUCAAAGCAGGCCUACGCUCUGAAUACAUUAGCAUGGAAUAACACGAUAGGACUCUGGCCUAUCUUGUUGGUCUGUAGGACCGGAGUAAUGAUUAAGAGGGACAGUCGGGGGCAUUCGUAUUUCAUUGUCAGAGGUGAAAUUCUUGGAUUUAUGAAAGACGAACUACUGCGAAAGCAUUUGCCAAGGAUGUUUUCAUUAA